AAACAGGAUAAAUAUUCUUUUGUACUUUAUAAAAUUAAUAACAAAAAAAAUUUUUUUUUUAGUACUUUUCUGAAAAAUUAAUAUAGUAAAACCGAUAGGGACACAAUUAAUAUAUAAAAAGUAUUAAAAGUACCUUUUGCAUCAUGGUAUAUUGAAUAAAUUUUUCAAAAAAAAAUUCCCGAAUUAAAAAGAUUUAUAAAAAUAUUAAAGUUUAUGUUUCAUAAUAAUUUUAAAUUUUUUUAUAGAAAUUAAAAGUUAAAUCGUUUUUUAAUUUAUCUGGUUCUUUUGGAAAUAGAUUUAAUCUAGAAAGAUAAUAUUUUACGUUUUUAAUUGAAAAAUUUUUUCUUUCAAGCUCUAGGGAGGAAAGUUCUUAGAGAAAUUACAAUUUAGCUAAAAAUUUUAAGUAAUUAUAUUUAUUUAAGCAAAAAUGAAUUUUUAUAAAAUUUAAUUAUAUACAAAAGUGAAUAUAAUAAUUUUAUUAUAUAAUAAUUAUGAUAUAAUGAGUAAUUGAAUAAAAAAUUAUCUUGGGAACUCGGCAAAAAUUUUUUCUGCCUGUUUAACAAAAACAUAGCUUUCUUUUAUGAAUAGAAGGUAAAACCUGCUCACUGAUUAUUUAAAGAGCCGCAGUAUACUGACUGUGCAAAGGUAGCAUAAUAAAUAGUAUUUUAAUUGAAUACUGGAAUGAACGGUUAAACAAGAAAAAUACUUUCCUAGAAAUUAAGAAUGAAAUUAAAUUUUAAGUGCAAAUUCUUAAAUAAAUGUGAUAGACGAGAAGACCCUAUAGAUCUUUACUUUAAAAAAAGAAUAAUUCUUUACUAAAAGUUUAAUUGGGGCAAUUGAAAAAUAUGAAAAACUUUUUCUUAAAUUAACCCAAAAAUGGGAUUAAUGACCUUAAAUUAAAAUCAGAUAAAAAGUUACCUUAGGGAUAACAGCGUGAUAAAGAGUUAAAAGAACAAAUUUUAAUUCAUGUUCACGACCUCGAUGUUGAAUUAAGGUUUCCUUGAGGAGCAAAAAUUUCACAGGUUAGUCUGUUCGACUAUUAAAACCUUACAUGAUUUGAGUUCAGACCGACGCAAGUCAGGUCAGUUUCUAUCUUCACAUAAAGUGAAGUUUAUCAGUACGAAAGGACAAAUAAAUAAAAUUCUUAAAAUAAAAUUUCUA
rnacentral:rRNA from 1 species